ACUUCUAUAAAGCAACUAAACGUCUCUCUGCAGGAUUACUCUGAAAUGCUGCCAUUUGGUAUGUUCAAGUAUAAUACUCGGUCUUACGAAAUAUCACAGCUACAUUGUUCAAUCUGCCACACACAGUGUGCUUCAACCCUGUCAGGUGUCUUUAUUUUAUCACAAUGCUUUUACUGUCUGAGCACAUAGUGAAAGAUAAACCUCAAAUUAGCAUUCAAAUUAGUGUCGACAUUAACAAUUUCUUUUUUCUCUUCUUCAG
rnacentral:lncRNA from 1 species